CUGCUCAUUUUGACAGCACAUAGACUAUAAUGGGAAUGAUACAGAGAAAAUUAGAAUGGCCUCUGCAUUAGUAUUUUAUGAUUAUGAGUCAACCCACCAAGAAAGAU
ensembl:snRNA U6 U6 spliceosomal RNA